rnacentral:rRNA from 1 species
UACAGAGGGUGCGAGCGUUGUUCGGAAUUACUGGGCGUAAAGCGCGCGUAGGCGGCUUAGCAAGUUAGAGGUGAAAGCCCGGAGCUCAACUCCGGAAUUGCCUUUAAAACUGCAAAGCUAGAAUCAUGGAGAGGUGAGUGGAAUUCCGAGUGUAGAGGUGAAAUUCGUAGAUAUUCGGAAGAACACCAGUGGCGAAGGCGACUCACUGGACAUGUAUUGACGCUGAGGUGCGGAAGCGUGGGGAGCAAACAGG